GACGAACGCUGGCGGCGUGCCUAAUACAUGCAAGUCGAACGCUGAAGGAGGAGUUUGCUUCUCUGGAUGAGUUGCGAACGGGUGAGUAACGCGUAGGUAACCUGCCUGGUAGCGGGGGAUAACUAUUGGAAACGAUAGCUAAUACCGCAUAAUAGUAGAUGUUGCAUGACAUUUGUUUAAAAGGUGCAAUUGCAUCACUACCAGAUGGACCUGCGUUGUAUUAGCUAGUUGGUGGGGUAACGGCUCACCAAGGCGACUAUACAUAGCCGACCUGAGAGGGUGAUCGGCCACACUGGGACUGAGACACGGCCCAGAGUCCUACAGGAGGGAGCAGUAGGGAAACUUCGGCAAUGGGCGGGAGUCUGAGCGAGAAACGCCGCGUGAGUGAGGAGGGUUUUCGGAUCGUGAAGCUCUGUUGUAGGGGGAGAAAGAGUGUGAGAGUGGAAAGUUCACACUGUGACGGUAACUGACAAGAAAGGGACGGCUAACUACGUG
rnacentral:rRNA from 1 species